rnacentral:lncRNA from 1 species
AUGGAAGUUAUUGCCCUUUCCACUCAGCCAUACUCUGAGAGACCUGGCGGAUUUUGCUAUCCCAGAAAACACAGUAAAGAUUUCUCAAGUUCCCUUUUCCCCUUGAGAGACGUGGCCCCACAGUUCCCCAUAUUUCAACCAGAGACGCGCUUGUCAAAAGAGAGGCACUCAGAUAUCAUCACUGCUGUUCCUCAGAAGCAAAUAGUGGGAAAGGUUGUUCAUCCUUGACAAGUGAAAUCACACAUGCGGUGCUUUCCGAUGGUUCUGGGCUGAUCCACAUGGUUUGCUUCAUCCAAAGACAUGUGAUUGGCUGUGGUGAGCACUGAAACCAAGAGGCAAUUUUAAAUGGUAUCAUGUGUUUCUACCAGUUUUUAGUUCUUUUUCUCUUACCAGGAAAAAGGUAAAAUCAAAUAGGGGUUUGUCCUUCAGUCUGAGUCCCAGAAAGAAUGAGAAAAUACACAGGAAAGAGUUUAGCAGUCAAACAAAAUUGUUGUAAGCCACUGAGUUCCACUGGGUUGUUGUUGUUGUUGUUGUUGUUGUUAUUAUCAGUAUAAGACUGACUAAUACCAUGAUAGUCAACUUCACCCAAGUUCUUAAAAGUAUUUGUUGAAAGGCUCAGAAAGAGCUGGAUUUUGAAAUUUUUCUAACCCAGUCAAAACCAGAUGAUAGUCCUUAUUUAAACAGCAUGAGAAAAUACAGGGAGGUACUGAUAAGUAUGAUAUGGUUGAAGAAGAUAAAGGUUUGGGUGAAAUCAAACUGAAAGGGAAUAUUUAAUAAGGAAUUACCCUGAAUAGAGAAAACAGAGUCAUGGUUUGCAUGUUCAUGUGUUUAUCCUCAAGCAAACAAGGAACUAGUGAUUUAAAUAAAGAUUUAAAUAAAGGCA